rnacentral:rRNA from 1 species
AACGCUAGCUACAGGCUUAACACAUGCAAGUCGAGGGGAAACGACAUCGAAAGCUUGCUUUUGAUGGGCGUCGACCGGCGCACGGGUGAGUAACGCGUAUCCAACCUGCCCACCACUUGGGGAUAACCUUGCGAAAGUAAGACUAAUACCCAAUGAUAUCUCUAGAAGACAUCUGAAGGAGAUUAAAGAUUUAUCGGUGAUGGAUGGGGAUGCGUCUGAUUAGCUUGUUGGCGGGGUAACGGCCCACCAAGGCAACGAUCAGUAGGGGUUCUGAGAGGAAGGUCCCCCACAUUGGAACUGAGACACGGUCCAAACUCCUACGGGAGGCAGCAGUGAGGAAUAUUGGUCAAUGGGCGAGAGCCUGAACCAGCCAAGUAGCGUGCAGGAUGACGGCCCUAUGGGUUGUAAACUGCUUUUAUAAGGGAAUAAAGUGAGAGUCGUGACUCUUUUUGCAUGUACCUUAUGAAUAAGGACCGGCUAAUUCCGUGCCAGCAGCCGCGGUAAUACGGAAGGUCCGGGCGUUAUCCGGAUUUAUUGGGUUUAAAGGGAGCGUAGGCCGGAGAUUAAGCGUGUUGUGAAAUGUAGACGCUCAACGUCUGCACUGCAGCGCGAACUGGUUUCCUUGAGUACGCACAAAGUGGGCGGAAUUCGUGGUGUAGCGGUGAAAUGCUUAGAUAUCACGAAGAACUCCGAUUGCGAAGGCAGCUCACUGGAGCGCAACUGACGCUGAAGCUCGAAAGUGCGGGUAUCGAACAGGAUUAGAUACCCUGGUAGUCCGCACGGUAAACGAUGGAUGCCCGCUGUUGGUCUGAAUAGGUCAGCGGCCAAGCGAAAGCAUUAAGCAUCCCACCUGGGGAGUACGCCGGCAACGGUGAAACUCAAAGGAAUUGACGGGGGCCCGCACAAGCGGAGGAACAUGUGGUUUAAUUCGAUGAUACGCGAGGAACCUUACCCGGGCUUGAAUUGCAGAGGAAGGAUUUGGAGACAAUGACGCCCUUCGGGGUCUCUGUGAAGGUGCUGCAUGGUUGUCGUCAGCUCGUGCCGUGAGGUGUCGGCUUAAGUGC